UUGGUAGGCAGGGUGAGAAUCCCAAGGCGCUUGAGAGAACUCGGGUGAAGGAACUAGGCAAAAUGGCACCGUAACUUCGGGAGAAGGUGCGCCCUUUAGCGUGGUCACAUGCGUGACUGAGCGUUGAAGGGUCGCAGUAACCUGGCCGCUGCGACUGUUUAUCAAAAACACAGCACUCUGCAAACACGAAAGUGGACGUAUAGGGUGUGACGCCUGCCCGGUGCUGGAAGGUUAAUUGAUGGGGUCAGCCGCAAGGCGAAGCUCUUGAUCGAAGCCCCAGUAAACGGCGGCCGUAACAAUAACGGUCCUAAGGUAGCGAAAUUCCUUGUCGGGUAAGUUCCGACCUGCACGAAUGGCGUAACGACAGCGGCGCUGUCUCCACCCGAGACUCAGUGAAAUUGAAUUCGCUGUGAAGAUGCAGCGUUCCCGCGGCAAGACGGAAAGACCCCGUGAACCUUUACUAUAGCUUUACAUUGAACGUUGAGUUCUUCUGUGUAGGAUAGGUGGGAGGCUUUGAAGUGCAGGCGCUAGCUUGCAUGGAGCCAACCUUGAAAUACCACCCUGAAGUGCUUGACGUUCUAACCUCGACCCGUCAUCCGGGUCAGGGACCAUGUAUGGUGGGUAGUUUGACUGGGGCGGUCUCCUCCCAAAGAGUAACGGAGGAGCACGAAGGUACGCUCAGCGCGGUCGGACAUCGCGCACUGUGUGCAAUGGCAUAAGCGUGCUUGACUGCGAGAUCGACGGAUCAAGCAGGUACGAAAGUAGGUCAUAGUGAUCCGGUGGUUCUGUAUGGAAGGGCCAUCGCUCAACGGAUAAAAGGUACUCCGGGGAUAACAGGCUGAUACCGCCCAAGAGUUCAUAUCGACGGCGGUGUUUGGCACCUCGAUGUCGGCUCAUCACAUCCUGGGGCUGUAGCCGGUCCCAAGGGUAUGGCUGUUCGCCAUUUAAAGUGGUACGCGAGCUGGGUUCAGAACGUCGUGAGACAGUUCGGUCCCUAUCUGUCGUGGGCGUUGGAGAUUUGAGGGGGGCUGCUCCUAGUACGAGAGGACCGGAGUGGACGUUCCGCUGGUGUUCGGGUUGUCAUGCCCAUGGCAUUGCCCGGUAGCUAUGAACGGAAGUGAUAACCGCUGAAAGCAUCUAAGCGGGAAGCACGCCCCAAGAUGAGAUCUCCCGAGAGCUUGACUCUCCUUAAGGCACCAUCAAGACCAGGUGGUUGAUAGGUCAGGUGUGGAAGUGCAGCAAUGCAUGGAGCUAACUGAUACUAAUGAGCCGUGAGGCUUGACCG
rnacentral:rRNA from 1 species